GUUCAAUUCAGCAGCACAUGUACUGAAAUUGAAAUGAUACAGAAAAGAUGAGCAUGGCGCCUGCACAAGGAUGAUAUGCACAUUCCUGAAGCAGUCUACAUUUUU
rfam:Caprimulgus carolinensis contig64944, whole genome shotgun sequence.